AUCCGUCCGACGAGUCGCAAAUAGGACGAAAUGCGCGUCUUGGAU
rnacentral:hammerhead_ribozyme from 1 species